UGGCGUAGAACCCGGAAUGGAAGGCCUCUCAAUAACAGUGCGGUCAUCACAGAUGGUGUUCGUGUGACAGGCAGUGUAACCAUCUUUGAUGUCAAAGAUGAGGACUUCCGGAACUACACAGUGGUAGUGACAAACACGGAAGGAACAAUUUCUGAAGAACGUUAUGCUGAUUUCGGCUUCUAUGCCAGAUACACCGAUGGAUAUGCAAGCUUCAUCCAUCAGCGUUCGGUCAUUUUACCCUGACAUGGGAGAAAGGUUUCAACGGUGGCGCCAAACAAAGUUUCAACAUACAAUACAGACAACCUGGCGGACAGUGGACCACCCACCCCAACACGGCCAACCGAGAAGGACACCCUCCAGCUGGUCAUUGAUGACCUCGAACCUGGAACAGUCUACGAAAUUCGGAUUAAUGCACAGAAUAACUACGGCGCUAGUAACUACACCAACGUCAUCGUCGUGGAGACAGAUUCAGUCAACUACGGUCUGAUAGCAGCUACAGCGACGGCAGUAACAGUGGCCCUACUUGUCGGCAUCACCAUCACCAUCGUCCUGGUUAAAGAGGAAUAGGAAGAGAGCCCAGCCAGAUGUUCCUGGCAAUAAACGACAUGAAGUCGAGGAAAUAGUUAUGGAGGACAAUCUGCUGUAUGAAUCGUCUGGGGACCUUCAGCGCCCUCUGGUGGUGGAUCACAGUGACCUGUACACCGAAAUCAACACAAUCAAGUAAAACGAACAAUCCAGUAGAGGAUGUAUAUGCCAAACCCCAGAAGAGAACAGACCAGAGAAGGUCAAAGUGCAGAAUGUUACUUCACCAGAUACUGCGGCGGACGUCUACGCCACACCCCAGAAGAAGGGAAAGGGAAACUGAACGAUCUUGUGACUGAGAAGAAAGACGCCACUCCACCUACCCACGAUCCCGAUGGUGUAUAUGUGAACACGGGCGCUUAUGAUCAAUAAACAGAGAUGGGUUGUCUCCCUUUCAUUGCCCAGCCAAUGCUGCUUCUUUGAUCACAAUGUCUGCGGCCAUGGUAGAAAGGAACCACAGACAGCAUCGUAUAUAAAGGACAAAGUGCGGAAGAUCUACAAUCCAGCUCAAUGCUCGCAACCAAGACAAAGACGUUUAGAGUUCCUCAACGUUACGCGCAGAAUCCACGAAACGUAGCGAUGAGAACUAGAAAAUGAGUAGAGUUUCCAUAAAUUUAAGAGUGUCGUUAUGUGAUAAAGAGGUUUACGCACAGCGUAAAGGUCAUCAUAAAUAUUAACAUGUAACGAAAAUACUGUAAAUGGACCUCUGAUUGACACCAGGUGUUCACAAAAGGGUACAGACACUGGUAGGGACCGGAAAGUACAAAAUGCUCAUGCCACUAAAUAAUAUGUUUUACGUCAUUUAAACUAUCUUUAUUGCCCAUAUCAUAGCAUGUUCAUUUACAUACAACGCUGGCUUACUGUUACAGUGUGUUCAUACAGUUAAUAUUUUUGUAAGUAACUCUAUUCAUUUUAUGUACUUUAUUUUACACAGUUUAAUCAAUGGGGCUGUAUAGUGUUUCAUAACAUACAAUCAUUGGCCCAUGUCUUCAAAUAUUAACACGCAAGCAGGGCCGUAGUUAACUUUUUCUUAAUAAGGGGACUCCAUCAAUGUUAAAGGAGUGUUUUAUCAAUACUUUGAUGCAUAAAAGUAAUCUGUAAAAAACCUGGUAAGGACAAUUAUUUUUAUGGAUGUCAACUUCUUUAUUGUGAGGAACAAAAGGUUUCGGACAUCCUCAAUAAUCGCCAGGGUAUAUGUUCCGAUAAAUCUCCACAAGUAUAUAGUGCAGAUUUAUCGUAACGUAUACCCUGGAGAUUAUUAAUAGUUAAUUAGCGCUUAACAGUUAUGGUGCUGAAUAGAAGCCAACACUUAACAAUUACGUAGUGCUGAAUAGAAGCCAACACUUAACAGUUACGUAGUGCUGAAUAGAAGCCAACACUUAACAAUUAUGUAGUGCUGAAUAGAAGCCAACACUUAGCAGUUACGUAGAGCUGAACAGAAGCCAACACUUAACAGUUACGUAGUGCUGAAUAGAAGCCAACACUUAACAGUUAAGUAGUGUUGAUAGAAGGUCAUCUGGAAGCCUGGAUUAUCUUAUAAAGAAUGGACAAAUACAAUGUAAUUGUAUCAAAAUCAUACUAUAUUGUCGGUAACUGUUUACCCUAUUAAACUGACAUUUGGUAUUGGACGACUUUGGACACAUACAAACGACCUCAGCGUAGGCCACGGAACAGGUCACAUAGCUAUACAGCAAUAGAUUGACAGCAAGCGACUGUGUAGUUUGCUGUACUCUGACUUGCCACCAACUUCGGAUGUUUGUGAUAGCUUUCUUGAAAAGUAGAAAGAAGCAAAUAUUGCUGAUUGCAAGUUAUAUCACCCACGAAGUCAAAGCUUAGCAGCUUUUCAAAUGGUAAUUAUGACUUGAGCAACUAACAAAACAUUGACUGAAAUUGUUAGGUGGAACUGUGGUAAGUGGGGUGUUAUGUUCAUGAAUCAUAGUUCAUUAAGCUGAUGUCUCUUCUCCAUGACAGAUCCUAAGUAGGUGCUAUACAGUAGACACGUUUUAAUAACUUUGUUGUGGUGUUAAUUUUUGUCAGUGUUUCAUUAAUUUGAUUGUAACUUGUGUUUCAAGUGAACGCUUCCCCAAAUCCAUCUAUACAAUGUAUCUUAGAUUAGACUGCCGCAUA
rnacentral:lncRNA from 1 species